GAUGAACGCUAGCUACAGGCUUAACACAUGCAAGUCGAGGGGCAGCAUUUCAGUUUGCUUGCAAACUGGAGAUGGCGACCGGCGCACGGGUGAGUAACACGUAUCCAACCUGCCGAUAACUCGGGGAUAGCCUUUCGAAAGAAAGAUUAAUACCCGAUGGUAUAACCAGACCGCAUGGUCUUGUUAUUAAAGAAUUUCGGUUAUCGAUGGGGAUGCGUUCCAUUAGGCAGUUGGUGAGGUAACGGCUCACCAAACCUUCGAUGGAUAGGGGUUCUGAGAGGAAGGUCCCCCACAUUGGAACUGAGACACGGUCCAAACUCCUACGGGAGGCAGCAGUGAGGAAUAUUGGUCAAUGGGCGCAGGCCUGAACCAGCCAAGUAGCGUGAAGGAUGACUGCCCUAUGGGUUGUAAACUUCUUUUAUAUGGGAAUAAAGUUUUCCACGUGUGGAAUUUUGUAUGUACCAUAUGAAUAAGGAUCGGCUAACUCCGUGCCAGCAGCCGCGGUAAUACGGAGGAUCCGAGCGUUAUCCGGAUUUAUUGGGUUUAAAGGGAGCGUAGGUGGACAGUUAAGUCAGUUGUGAAAGUUUGCGGCUCAACCGUAAAAUUGCAGUUGAUACUGGCUGUCUUGAGUACAGUAGAGGUGGGCGGAAUUCGUGGUGUAGCGGUGAAAUGCUUAGAUAUCACGAAGAACUCCGAUUGCGAAGACAGCUCACUGGACUGCAACUGACACUGAUGCUCGAAAGUGUGGGUAUCAAACAGGAUUAGAUACCCUGGUAGUCCACACAGUAAACGAUGAAUACUCGCUGUUUGCGAUAUACAGUAAGCGGCCAAGCGAAAGCAUUAAGUAUUCCACCUGGGGAGUACGCCGGCAACGGUGAAACUCAAAGGAAUUGACGGGGGCCCGCACAAGCGGAGGAACAUGUGGUUUAAUUCGAUGAUACGCGAGGAACCUUACCCGGGCUUAAAUUGCAUUUGAAUAUAUUGGAAACAGUAUAGCCGUAAGGCAAAUGUGAAGGUGCUGCAUGGUUGUCGUCAGCUCGUGCCGUGAGGUGUCGGCUUAAGUGCCAUAACGAGCGCAACCCUUAUCUUUAGUUACUAACAGGUCAUGCUGAGGACUCUAGAGAGACUGCCGUCGUAAGAUGUGAGGAAGGUGGGGAUGACGUCAAAUCAGCACGGCCCUUACGUCCGGGGCUACACACGUGUUACAAUGGGGGGUACAGAAGGCAGCUACCUGGUGACAGGAUGCUAAUCCCAAAAGCCUCUCUCAGUUCGGAUCGAAGUCUGCAACCCGACUUCGUGAAGCUGGAUUCGCUAGUAAUCGCGCAUCAGCCAUGGCGCGGUGAAUACGUUCCCGGGCCU
rnacentral:rRNA from 1 species